CUACAGGAUAAGCUCUGGGGUCUUAGGAUCUGACACUAUUUGCAGAGCUUGAGGGAAAUGUCACGGCCCUGGGGAUACUAGGAACUCACUGCUUUUCCUUUAAGACAGAUUCCACAGCGCUCUGUGUCUUUCCAAAGCUAUGCUGUGGUAUCGCUGACAAAACGGUUGGGGAAAUUCAAGAUGUACAGCUCAGAUGUUUUUGUCUCCGUGACGAAGUGACAACAGGAGUCAAACGGCUCAGUUACAACUGUCACCUUACGUGGCUACCCUGUACAUGCACCGUGAGAAUGCUUCAGGCUGGCUCUGCUGUUGGCUUUCAGCUUCAAAAUGAUCACCAAGGUCGGAAGCCAGCCAGAAAGAGGGAAGAUAUUUGAUGAGAUUUCCAAGAAAAUUAUUCAAAUUACGUGCCAGUGCACAGGACCACAAAAAUUUUGUGACAAGCAAGAACCAAACCCCGUGUAUCUCACCGAUUCGGAAGCGUCCACUAACCACACUCUGCAGAGGCACCCUCUAUGUUGGUAAGCUAUUUUAACCAGAUUCCAGAGCUGCCAUCAAAAGCUCUUGAACUUGAUGUCCUGCCAGAUGAGACAAGUGACCAAUUUGAUGGCUAUCCUUCCUCUGUUCCGAGGUUUGCAAACGAUUAAUAUCUCAGCUGUCAAUAUGAAAUUCUGCUGUGUUUGACUUCCCUUUUCUCUUUUUUUUUCUUUCUUUUUUAGAAAUUGAUGACUAAUUCCAUCAAAGCAUUGAUGAGGCCCAGUUCUAACAGUCUGUUGGUAUCUACUCCAUGAGUGACACAUCUGGAGAUUUUCCACUGCCUGAAAGCUGCCUCGCGCCUAACCAUGUUUUUCUAUGGGUCUCGUGUGAAGAAGAAUCUCCAUUGGGUGAACGAGUUGACAGCGUUGCAUGAGAACCUUGGCGUCUGAUAUUCACACCUGCUUGUGAAACAAACUACCGAGUGUUUCAAUUACCCUCUGACCUUAGAAAAAUGGAGGCUUCUAAUUUGAGCUGUUGCUAGUCUUAAGCAAACAGCUUCUGCAGUUUUACACAACACUCUUGCUAGCCAAAGGAAGAAAAGUGUUGAGGUUUUGUUUUUUUCCCCUGUGUGCAAAAGUUAGAAACAAUUUUCACUUUCAUUUCAGACUAUGAAAGCCAAGUCACAGCCAUAGCCACCCUCAUUGAGAUGUAGCUCUACCUGCAUUGGCAGGGUUACUCUUCAUGUGAGUCAGAGUAGAACCCAUCACUGGUUCUGGAUUCCAGUGGAAAGGUAUGAAUUAAAGUAAGCAGGGGCCAUAGCGAUGUGGCCAGCAAAGUUCUUGCUCAACAAGCAUGCUCACCAAGUUCAAAGCCAACACCUCUAUUUAAAAAACUGGGACCAAGCAUUCUGGAGCAUGACUUUAACCCCUAUACUCAGAAGAUGGAGGUAGAUGUUAUCUCUGUGAGUUUAAGGUCAACCUGCUCUACAUAUGGAGUUCCAGGACAACCCGGGACUACAUAGAGGGACCCUGCCUCAAACAAACAGAAAUAACGACAAACAAGACAUGCCAGCCCUGGGGCUGGAGAGAUGAGUCUUCAGUUUAGAGCACGGGCCUCUCUCACAUAGGACUUGGGUUCCAUUCUAGCAUCACUACGGCAGCUUACAACCACCUGUAACUCUAGUUCCAGGGACUCUGACGCUCUCUCCUGGCUCCUGCAGUAACCAGGAUCACAUGUAGUACACAUGUAUACAUGUAGGCAAAACAUUCAUAAAGUAAGCAAAUGAUUUGUAAAAUUCAAAGUGAGUUGUCAGAGUCCUGUGAACCUGUAGGGUCAGUGUUGGAGAGGCAGAGAUAGGUUAGACCCUGGGUCUUGGUAGGUAGCUGGUCUAGCCAACACAGGAAGCUCCUGACUUAUCGAGAGAGCCUGUCUCAAAGCAUAAGAGGGGUGGGUGCUGCCAAGAUGGCUGAUCAAGUAAAGGGGUUUGUCACCAAGCCUGAGGGCCUGAGCUGGAUCCCCAAGACACACAUGAUGGAAGAAGAGAAACAGACCCCCAAGUUAUCCUCUGACUACCCUAUAGCAUGAGUGCACCCACAUUUAUUCAUGUACAAGCAAAUAAAUAUAAUAAACAAUUUUAAUAAAGAAAAAGG
rnacentral:lncRNA from 1 species